rnacentral:rRNA from 1 species
GACGAACGCUGGCGGCGUGCCUAAUACAUGCAAGUAGAACGCUGAAGAGAGGAGCUUGCUCUUCUUGGAUGAGUUGCGAACGGGUGAGUAACGCGUAGGUAACCUGCCUUGUAGCGGGGGAUAACUAUUGGAAACGAUAGCUAAUACCGCAUAACAAUGGAUGACACAUGUCAUUUAUUUGAAAGGGGCAAUUGCUCCACUACAAGAUGGACCUGCGUUGUAUUAGCUAGUAGGUGAGGUAAUGGCUCACCUAGGCGACGAUACAUAGCCGACCUGAGAGGGUGAUCGGCCACACUGGGACUGAGACACGGCCCAGACUCCUACGGGAGGCAGCAGUAGGGAAUCUUCGGCAAUGGGCGCAACCCUGACCGAGCAACGCCGCGUGAGUGAAGAAGGUUUUCGGAUCGUAAAGCUCUGUUGUAAGUCAAGAACGGGUGUGAGAGUGGAAAGUUCACACUGUGACGGUAGCUUACCAGAAAGGGACGGCUAACUACGUG